ACGGCGGGGUCGGCCCUGAGCGCCUGGGGGCAGCGCCGGGCCCGGAGCCUCGCGGGGGGCUCGUAGGUCGCGUUGGGCUGCGGUCACCGUGAGAUGUGGUCAGGACGUCGUGUGCGUGACUUUCGAGCAGUUAUUUAUCCAUCGGCAGCCCGCGGUGGUGGCAGUUGCUUCUCUCAAAAUCGCUACUGUUGUUUUUAGUGCGCGUCUCCACACCCCGAUAAGCGGGUAGCGGCGCCCUGCAGAGCACUGACUGCUGGGGUCACUGCUUCCCCUCUCCUCAGCACUGGCGGAGGUGGACGCCUGCCUUAAGAACCCCAUUGCUCAGCGUUGGGGUGCUGAGCAGCUCAUCAGUGCUUGAAGGUGACCGAGCAGCCCAUUCGAGCCUCAGAAACUGAUGUAGAGAGGAGUUAACCUUGCUCAAAUUAUCUUCAGCUGCACCUUCCAGUCUCAGCUGCUGUGCGUGGGACACACAGCUCCACGGAGCCCUUCACAGCAGAAUGCUGCAUUUGUUUGCAGUGCUGAUGGUUCUCAUCUACAGCACCCAUCCCAAAGCUUCCACCAGCGGUGCUCACCUCGCCCAGACAGCGGAGGUGGCACAAUGCAGCCAUCAGAAAAUCAGCAGAAAUGAGCUGAUGCCGAUUUGAGACCACUGGACACACCUAAAUUUAUCUGUAGUUGAUGUUGCAAACCAAAACCAAAGCCCUGACAUCUUCACAGCAGUCUGACGAUGAGGUAAUGGGAUAAACAUCCACUGUGGAUCUCACGUGCUGCAACUCAGUGAGAUGUUGCUUUUGACACAAGAACGUAGGUUGGAAGGCAUCUCAGUCUGAAGCAGCACCAGCACCAACGGCAGCUCAGAUGUGUUUUUCUAGUCUAGUCCUGGAACCUUCCAAGAAGAGAUGUUCUGGAGCCUCUCUAGUUCAUCCUUUCCAGUACCACAGUGCCCUCCUUCUCUAAAAGUGAUGCUUUUAUGUUUUCUGUAUGUUGGCAAUAUAUAUGUAAGCAUUUAAAUACAAUUAGCAAUCUGUGUUUUAUAUACUAGGAGCAAUCAGUUUCAUUUUCAUCUAUAAGCAGUUGCUUACCAUACAGUAAUUGAGAUGAGGCGCUGUAGCUCUCAACUCACCUUAAGGAAUAAUGCUUUUAAGCUACAGCACAGGUUUUAAAAGGCUAAAACAUGUUGCACUGCUUAAUUUAAAACCUAAAGUGUUGUCUCAGCCUUUUUUUUUUCCUGUAUACAUGCCAAAGAACUCCAGCCCCUUGCUCAGGAGAACACUUUGUCUUUAUCCUCAUCCAGGAGGAGCACAGCCAAAUGAAUUAGAGCUCCAAAACUUUAAAAAACCACAGUAAGCUGACUCAACUGCUUGCUCUGCAGAGCUGCCUUAGUGUGUUCACGUGUCCUGAAAGAUUUCUGUGUAGUCCAGUGUUAUUUUUACUAACACUUAACCUGUUUCCAAACUAUCCUGUCUGGAACUUGCAGAGAACUGAUACAGCGCAGGCAUCUCUGCACAACCAUAGCUAAGCAGUCAGACUGCAUGUGUGGGCAAGACACCUGCAACAACCUGGAGAGGACAGCAAUUCAGAAGUUCUACAGACUGGAAAUAAAUAAAACAAAUCCUAAAUUACUACACAUUCUCAGCAUACAGGUAAAGCAAAAAGCAAUUAAAAACUGUGUGGCUGGUAGACAAGAAAGGGAUGAGCGGAACCACACCUUCAGUUAACUGAAGGCAGUGUCACAUCAUUUGAAAUUCAGAGUGGUCACUCGAUAACACGUGCCUCUUCUCCUUACAGACCAGAGCAUUUUUCCAGAACCAGUGCUUUUCACCUUCAGCCCUGUCCUGCUCCAUAUCACAGCUCCUCCUACAGCAGGAACUUGUGGUGUUACUAGUAAGGAAAUGAAGGGCUAAGAAGGGAAGAACAGAGGGAUGUAUUUAUUGAACUAAGAUGAAAAUGCAAAAAAUAAACUGAGUGCUUCCAUAUCUUAUUUUUGUGUUGUCCAUGAGAAAAUAUACAGCUGGCCUUUAGGAUUCAGCCUGAAUUCUCAGGUUGCCAGAGGAAAGACUUUUCCCCAGGCCCUCACCAUACAAUCUUUAUCAACGUGACUUUCAGCAACCAUGAAAAAAAUCCAGGCUGACCUUCGAUACUAACCAGACUGGAGUACAAUCAAGUGAAACGUCAAAGCUUUCAUCAGCAAUAUGUACGCUCACCACCUCUUUUCCAAGGCAGAAGCAUCAUCCAGGCAGACAACAAGGUAUUUAGCUGUGUCCAUCUUCACUCGCCUAUGCAUCAAGAAACCUUACAGCUAUUGUCAUCUAAAACAGCAGAGCAGCGAUACUGAGCUUGUAUGCAAAUGUGAGCAGCUGGAAACUAUCUGGCUUCAGCCUGAGGCUACAAACACAAGUGUCCAUUUACCUUGGAGAAAACAGGCACCUAUACACAUGAGCCCGUGUCAGCCAUGGCAGCUGAGGCAGCAGGGCUCUGCGGGAUGCACUGCAGGACAGCUGAGCCCUGGGGGAUGCCAAGGGACAGGCAGCAGGUGGGGGCAGGCAGAGAAGGAAUAAGAGAAUGAAGGAAUGAAAACCCACAAUUCUGUAUGUCCCAAAUCCUUCCAUCUUCUCCUUUCAAGAAGGAAAUUACCAAGGGUUUUCCUGCGUAUGGGUGUAUGUACUAAUACUUUGAGUCUGACUUAAUGAUUCCUUAGUUCAAAGAACAGACCUCUACAGAUGAGAGGCAUUUACUUCAAUCUGAUAUACAAACUCAGGUACUGGAUGAUGAGGAUACAGGGCUUUGAGCCACUCUGACAUCACCUUGCCAAGCAACCUACCGGUCUCUGCAGUGCAGAAGGAAAGGUCAAUGCUGAUCUGUGAAACAAACCGAAAUCCUAAUUACGUGCCAGUAGCAUCACAGUUUGAAGUGAAACUUAGGUGAACUUAUGGUCAGCCAGCUGCUCAGAAAUUGGGCGGUAAUUAUUUCUAUUUUAAGUUUUCUCUCCUCUUGAAUCUCACCUCCCAGCUGGCUGGCAAACAGCAUUACUAAUCCCCAUCAGAACAAUUUCUUGUUCACAAUGCAGUAUUCUUAAAAACAAAAGCCUACAAAUGGCAGUCACUGCACAGUUAUGGAGAAAAGUGCAAAACCUGGAGUGACUGUCAACAUACUCUGUUGGCUUUACUAACAACUGCUUGUAUUUGCAUACAGAAACAGAACAAAUGAACUGCUUCCCACUGCAGCAGGGGAUGCAUCACGCCAAAGGCAGUAGGACAAGUCAUUCCUCUUGAUGGAAUGGUGUCAACGAAGAUACAAAGUUCUAUCUGCAAAAGUACAAAUACAGAGAAUGGCAAGCAAGAGGAAAGGGAACUUAGUGAACUAAUGAAUCUGAAGCAAAGGAGCUUUUUUUUUUUUGCUAGUGAUCAAAGCAAAAGCUCUCAACAUGCGAGAUAAAAACAACAACAAAAGGAGCACCUCCACGUGAGCGUUAUUUUUAGAAUGCACUGCUCCCUGUAAGAGGUCACGCUUCAGAAGGACUCAGCUUUCCAGAAAUAGUUUGGAGCUCUACCUGAAGGUAGAAUUUUUGCUGAAGAAAAAAAAGUAACCCCUCAAGCCUUUCAGAAAAGGUGUGAAUUAAUGAAUUGUGAAAGGAAGUGUCUUGCAGGUUUGACAGUUAGGCAGCCCUUCAAAGAGAAAACCUCAGAAAAAGCAAGGAAGUCCAAAAAAGUGUGUGAAAGCAGGCCUGCACACUUGCAACACUUCUAUAUUUUCUCUUACAGGCCAGCAGUAUAAAAAAAAUCCCUCUAUUUUGUCCCACAGUCUGUGUACUGAGCCCAAAAACCAGAGUCUUCAACAGUAUGAACAGCAAGGGCCUUCCAUUAGAACAGCCAGCUAAGUUCUUUUAAGAUAUGUCCAAAAAGAAGUUGCAAGCAUGAGCCUUAACAAUGCAAAACAUAUGAAUGUGUUUUGAACAAAAUCACUGUCAGAUUCAGAUUAGUAGAAUGGAAAGUUUUAAAACAGAAGUUGACACAAAUCACACUAUUAUUUGUGUAAUGGAAGCUUGGGCAAUACACAUAGCACUGAAUUUCACGUUAUUCCUUUAAUAUUUAGAAAACUGGUUUUAUUCUUAGUUUUUCAGAUUUUCUUCUGAAGUAUUAGCACCUACAAUGGAAAUAACUCAAACUUAGAUUUACACUUGAAAGAAAGCCAUGCUCGAUCAGUUAAUUUAUCUUGUAUUUUUCUACUUUUGAAUAUUUCACAGAGCACCAAGAGGGAAAAAAGAGAGCAACAUUUCAGUAACACGUGAGCUCUGUUCUCAGCUACAUGAGAUUGCAGGACCAGACAUCUCCCUGGGAUAGAACUCAGAAGGUCACAGUUUUCCAGCACACUUCAAUCACUUUUUUUUUUUCCAUUAUUUAUGGUGGAAACUUCUAUCCAGGUUUAUAAAACCUAUCCAGCUGUGCAUUAGUUUAAUAAACCAGAGCUGACCUGAGAUGCAAUUAGAAUUUGACAUUUUUCCAUACUUAGUUCACAAGUUUAUUAUGAAAAACACUGCAGCUCUGUCCUGCAGUAACAUUGUUUUACAGAAAAAAACAGUUCUGUUCAAAGUAAUUCACUAUGCCUGGACAAUUACAAGGGACAAUAUGGUUGGGCAAAGAGUGGAAAAGGGAACUGAGUGCAGACAAAAAAAAAAAUCAAUACAAUUAAAUUAAACAGUAUUCCCUGAAAAUAAAAACAAACAAACAGUUUCAGAACAAAUAUGAAGCCUUGGUACUUAUUUUAAAAAUGUUCUUUAAGCUUCAAUGAUUGUUUGCUGCUAUCUUUAUCUACAGUCAUGCUGAAUAAAGCUAUAGCUAAAUGGAAAGUUAAAUGUAUUCACGAGGUGUUAAUGUCUACAUCUUAUUAUUUGCAGUCUCUCAGAGAAAGCAAAAGUAACUACAAAUAGCGCUAUGCCAGAAACUGGUUUCUUGACCAACAAUGUUGCUUCAGCAUGCAAUGAACUGGUUCAUUCUAAAGUGGUCACAGUUGUUGACGACAAGAGGCUUUGUAUUUGAAUAUGGCACGUCUUUUGGUCCAUGUGAAAACAAGUUUGAAUGUUAAAUAUUUUCUGACACUUUGGAGUUACUGUUGCUCUUCCCAUUUUCUUUAGGUCAACGUAUGGUUCAUGGCAAUACUGUACAGGUCUAUAAUCUCUUUACAGGAAGUAGUCCGGGGUGCGACGAGUAACAUGCGGUUCACCUCUGCGCGGCGCUGGAUCGAACUGCAAACUGAAAAGCAUACGUGUUAAUGACAGCAUUCCAUUUACAUUCAGGUAUUUUUUCUGAAUUAUUUUAAACUCAUCUUCGGAUUACUUCUAUGGACUUGAAAGAAACAAAUUUUGGCUUUUAAGACUCAAAUUGAUCAGAUAUCAGCAUACAUCUAGACAUUAAAAGUCUCCAGUAGUUAUCAAAGAGGUAAAUUACACAACGCUGUAUACAAUUCCUCAUUUAUUAGUAAAACUGCUAUAGCAGCUCCAAAAGUCAAUGUCCUAACAAGAUUGUAAGUCUCUUGCCCUAGACUUACAGGUGAGCAUAAUUACCUCAGGUAUGACAGUACUCCAACAUUCAAAUUACAUACUUCUGUAGUAUUUAAUUAAACUGACUUUAUUGUAUAUAAUGAGCUUAAUGACAUCUGUCUGAAUGUCAACAACAACACUUUCCAAUAUCUGACUGGAAAAUAUUCUACAUAUGGACUAGCCCAACAAUUCCACUGUCACAUCACCCCCUGAAGGUGUACAGGGUAAAAACCAUACCUCAAAACCAUAAAUAGUUACUGUAGCAAAAUACCACUUAUCAAAUCUUAAAAUCACGUGCAACACGGAUCUCAUUUUUAGGCAUACUUACAAGGAGUAUUUUAAAGUAUCAUCAAGUUCCAUAAUUGCAGCCUGGUUGCCACAACGGUAACAAUAGUUUGGAGCACUGAAAAUUGUUACUACAUUCCGAUCAUGGCACCAGUUGUACCCCUGGAGAGGAAAAUAAACUAUUUAGGAAAACCAUAUUCAUUUGUUGCACCCCAUAACUGACUACUAAACUGAAUUUCAACGUGCAAAACCCUACAUAGGCUUUGCAGUUUUAAAUAACAUUAAGGCUGUAUGUUUAUUUCUCUUCUCAACUGAAAAAGGAAAAAAGGAACUGCACCAUAGCAUAUAACAUCUUCCUAGUCAGCAUUAGAUAAGCGCAUUAAAAAACAGCAAGAGUUCUCCACUACACUGUUAAAAAUUAAAAUACUAAUUUUGAAUUACACAAUCUUUUUAAAGCUAGGUGUGGGUUCUGGUUUUGAUGAUUAGAGGUCAACUUCUAGGGAUCACCAGAGACUAAGAAGAAAACCACACACAUCCCUUUACCUUGUAAAAAGGCCAAGUGCACAUCUCAGGCACCACAACUAACUGCACUAUCAACAGCUUAAACACACAGCCUUUGCUGCUUACCUCCAUUACCAACUGAUGAGCUCUUGAAACCAAUGUAAGGCCAUUAGCAUGGUUAAAGGUUUCUGAAAUAUCCUGUCCAAACGUAUAACCUGCACCUCGAGGAGAAAUUCCCCAGCCACCACGGUCAUCUGGAUCUGACCAUAGCAAGUCACACAUUGGACCCUGUAAGACAUUUGGAAAGUAUUUCAUAAAUUGAAGCAAAAAAUAAAAGUAAAAACAAAAAACACAAUCUACACACUCAUGCCCCUGCACAGCUUACUGCAGCUCCUCUUGAAGGCUUAGAAAAAUAAUCUAAGAAAAACCCCACCUCUAUCAGCUACAAUUGUUAGUGUAGUUAAAGCCUGAAAUACUAACAAGGAAGUUAAUUUUAAUGAAAAAAUUUCACAGAAGUAGUUCUCACCUCUGAGAUAUUAAAACAUGCAUUGUAACUUUAGGCAAGAACACAGCCCUUAAUUUUCCUGCAGAAGACUAGUUAGGCAAGACAGGCAUUUUCGAAUUGCUACAUCGUUUUGAACCUGAUUUUCUGCCUUUGUAUACAUUAAAAUACCCAACAUAUGCUGAAUCAUGAAUAAGAUAAUUAAUUUUCAGUAUACCUCAUGAGGAACUUCCUGCAAGCGAUCAAGUGCUCUGAUGUGAUCCAGCGUAUCUAUUGAUGGAGAGAGGCCACCAUGUAGACAGAAAAUCUGAAAGAGAUGCAUUAUGAAAUUUCACUUGUUUACAUUUAUUAGUACAAAAAAUAUAAUUGUUUAGUAUAAAUAAUUAAGAAAACUUUUCAAGAGAUUAUUUUCAAGCUGAGAGCUCACUGAAUGCAGUGUUAAUAGCUCCCUUCACAACCAGCAACAUUUAACUCUGUCCAAGUUAACUCUACCUGGCCAUCCACCAAGGCGGUUAGAGGAAGGUAAUCAAAAAGGUCUGUAAAGUACUUCCAAACAUUUGCAUUCCCAUAUUUUCUUAAACAUUCGUCAUAGAAACCAUAUACUUGUGUGAUCUGCCUGCUUUCAUGGUUCCCUCGAAGAAUCGUGAUACGUUCACGGUAACGGACCUAAACGUAAUAGUUGAAGAUAUUUUAGGGGCACGACAACAUGCAUUUCCCAAAACCACACUUUGCUUUUCUUCCCCUCCCCAUAAUAUGCCCAUUAAGCAAUAAGAAAAAAAAUUAAAUUACAACCUUAAAGGAAAAAAAAAAUAACAGCUAGAUGUUGCCAGUCUUCAGUUGCCAGAAGCCUUGAGAUGAAGUAGAGGUUUUAUCCACUGUUACCAGUGGACUUCACUAUCCCUGUGCACUAAGCUGUUAUCUCACAUUUUUAAAGACUGCUACUUCCACAUUUAAAGAGAAUAAAAAUAAAUGCAGCACUCCCUUUACAAAAAGUUACACGGCCUUUUCAGAAAUACUAACCGCAUAUAGGUUUGUCAAAAAUAUUUGUGACAACACAGACAACAUUUCAGUUUUUCUACUUACAAAACCUCUGCAGUAAAUUCAUAACUGGUAUCAAACGCAGUCAGGACAGUAAUUACACAUUUUAUACUGGAUGGUACAGAAGAAAGAUUACCUUAAGAGCUACAAGCAACGUGACUGUUUCAACUGAGUAAUAACCUCUGUCAACAUAGUCCCCCAUAAACAAAUAAUUUGUGUCUGGUGAUUUGCCUCCAAUUCUGAAGAGUUCCAUGAGGUCGUGAAAUUGUCCAUGCACAUCUCCACACACUGUGACAGGACAUCGCACUUCUUGUACAUUGGAUUCUUUUGUCAAGAUUUCUUUAGCCUAAAAACAAAAAUGAAGAAGUUGUAAGAUUGUCUGUGAGCAGUUUUUCCUCACAGUAUGCUCCACCAUUUGCAAUGUUACAACAUUACCUGCUCUUUUUAUCAAUUCUUGUCCUUGUCUGAGGCAUAUGGAAUAGGAGUUUAUCUACUUGAAAGACUCUGCUUCAUGCUAUAGAAAUUUAAAAGUAUUUUUAUUUUUUGAAGAAUUGUUUUUUCCCCCCUCACCCAGCAACAAAUGGGUAUUUCAGAAUUAGUUUCCAGCUUAGAAAAAACUGACAUGUUCUAUAAAGCGGCUCCAAGAAAGGUAGCACAACUGCCUUCAGACCAACGAGCAUCAUCUCUGGGACUGUAAAGUUCGCAGUAAGCCUACAACCAUGCAAAUGGCUUAUUCCCAAGCCUUCCAAAGCCUGAACUCAGACACAGCCAAAUCUGGGAGGUGAACAUGGCUGUGUCAACCAGCCAGAGCUCCAGCAGGAUCCCACACUUCAGAUGUCUUGCUUCAGAAGUGAGAUAACAGUUUGCUACUCAUGUGUGCAUCUCUCUG